rnacentral:rRNA from 1 species
UGCAAGUGUUAUCCGGAAUCACUGGGCGUAAAGCGUCUGUAGGUGGUUAAAUAAGUCAACUGUUAAAUCUUGAGGCUCAACUUCAAAAUCGCAGUCGAAACUAUUAGACUAGAGUAUAGUAGGGGUAAAGGGAAUUUCCAGUGGAGCGGUGAAAUGCGUAGAGAUUGGAAAGAACACCAAUGGCGAAAGCACUUUACUGGGCUAUUACUGACACUGAGAGACGAAAGCUAGGGUAGCAAAUGGG